UGUCGGUGUUAGAUAAUAAUCGGAUCCUCCACUUUUAUAACUGACGCUGGUAUCGUAUCCCUUACUGUGUAAUGAUACUGAUGUUAAGCUCUUCCUUUCCUCCGCUUCGUCAUAGUGAACAUCGGCAUACAGACGAAAGGAUAUUUCGCUGAUGCCAAUUUGAAUCGGAAGUUGGCGAAUAAUAUAGCAUAUUUACACUAUCCCAAACACAGAGAAUAGUGUCGCAGAUGAUUUUGUCAUAAUACAACAUAAUAGGAUUGUGACGUCAUAAAGAGAUAAAGUAACAGCAUAACAGCUUGAUCAUCCUGCAAAUGUUUAGGUGCGGCUUCAUUGAAAGAAUGGCAUAACGUGGUCAUCCAAGCCAACUUUACUGAAACUACACGGCCAAUCAGUGAUUGAAAUUUGCACAUUCCAU